rnacentral:rRNA from 1 species
AUGAACGCUGGCGGCGUGCCUAAUACAUGCAAGUCGAGCGAACAGACGAGGAGCUUGCUCCUCUGACGUUAGCGGCGGACGGGUGAGUAACACGUGGAUAACCUACCUAUAAGACUGGGAUAACUUCGGGAAACCGGAGCUAAUACCGGAUAACAUGUUGAACCGCAUGGUUCAACAGUGAAAGACGGUCUUGCUGUCACUUAUAGAUGGAUCCGCGCCGCAUUAGCUAGUUGGUAAGGUAACGGCUUACCAAGGCAACGAUGCGUAGCCGACCUGAGAGGGUGAUCGGCCACACUGGAACUGAGACACGGUCCAGACUCCUACGGGAGGCAGCAGUAGGGAAUCUUCCGCCAUGGGCGAAAGCCUGACGGAGCAACGCCGCGUGAGUGAAGAAGGUCUUCGGAUCGUAAAACUCUGUUAUUAGGGAAGAACAAAUGUGUAAGUAACUAUGCACGUCUUGACGGUACCUAAUCAGAAAGCCACGGCUAACUACGUG